CCACUGGAAUGGGGACAGUGGUGGUAGGAGCGCGGUGGGGUACAGGUGCCUGUUCUGGUUGUUGCUGCUGGUGAGAUGGGAACCGAGAGACAGGAAGCAGAUGAUGCAGGUUUGCAGACUUAGUAGAUGCAGGUCAGCAGAGCGUGGAUGCAGGUCAGCAGAGCCGAGGAUGCAGGUUAGCAGAGGCGUGGAUGCAGGUUAGCAGAGGCGUGGAUGCAGGUUAGCAGCGCAGCAGGUGCAGGUGAGCGGAGUCAGGCAGGCCGGGUCAAACACUUGGAGUCAUAGCAGAAGCAAUAGGCAGAAGAGUAGUCAGUCCAGGCCAGGUCUUGGCAACGGGUAUUCAAGCAGGGAAC